CCGUAGCGAAAGCGAGUCCGAAUAGGGCGAGUCAGUGGCAUGCUCUAGACCCGAAGCGGAGUGAUCUACCCAUGGCCAGGUUGAAGCGACGGUAAGACGUCGUGGAGGACCGAACCCACUUAGGUUGAAAACUGAGGGGAUGAGUUGUGGGUAGGGGUGAAAGGCCAAUCAAACUCCGUGAUAGCUGGUUCUCCCCGAAAUGCAUUUAGGUGCAGCGUCGCGUGUUUCUCACCGGAGGUAGAGCUACUGGAUGGUCUAGGGGGCCCACAAGCUUACCGAAAUCAGCCAAACUCCGAAUGCCGGUGAGUGAGAGCGCGGCAGUGAGACUGCGGGCGAUAAGGUUCGUAGUCGAGAGGGAAACAGCCCAGAUCGCCAGCUAAGGUCCCUAAGCGUGUACUAAGUGGAAAAGGAUGUGGGGUCGCGAAGACAACCAGGAGGUUGGCUUAGAAGCAGCCACCCUUGAAAGAGUGCGUAAUAGCUCACUGGUCAAGUGAUCCUGCGCCGACAAUGUAGCGGGGCUCAAGUACACCACCGAAGCUGCGGCAUUCACGCAAUAGCCCCCNNNNNNNNNNNNNNNNNNNNNNNNNAAGACGAGUGAGAAACUCGUCCGCCGAAUGACCAAGGGUUCCUGGGCCAGGUUAAUCCGCCCAGGGUGAGUCGGGACCUAAGACGAGGCCGACAGGCGUAGCCGAUGGACAACGGGUUGAUAUUCCCGUACCCGUGUGAACGCGCCCAUGGUGAAUCAGUGAUACUAACCAUCCUGAAGCCACGAGAAGACCUUCGGGUCUCGAGUUGGUGGAUGCAUGGGACCUGAUCUGGUAGUAGCCAAGCGAUGGGGUGACGCAGGAAGGUAGCUGAGCCAGUCAGUGGUAAUACUGGUGUAAGCGUGUAGGGCGUGACCUAGGCAAAUCCGGGUCGCACACAAGCCUGAGACGUGAUGCGUAGCCGAUUGAGGCGAAUUCAGUGAUCCUAUGCUGCCGAGAAAAGCCUCUAGCGAGCUUUCACACGGCCCGUACCCCAAACCGACACAGGUGGUCAGGUAGAGAAUACUAAGGCGAUCGAGAUAACUAUGGUUAAGGAACUCGGCAAAAUGCCCCCGUAACUUCGGGAGAAGGGGGGCCCUGUCUGGUGACGACAUUUACUGUCUGAGCUGGGUGGGGCCGCAGAGACCAGUGAGAAGCGACUGUUUACUAAAAACACAGGUCCGUGCGAAGUCGUAAGACGAUGUAUACGGACUGACGCCUGCCCGGUGCUGGAAGGUUAAGAGGACCGGUUAGUUCUUCGGAGCGAAGCUGAGAAUUUAAGCCCCAGUAAACGGCGGUGGUAACUAUAACCAUCCUAAGGUAGCGAAAUU
rnacentral:rRNA from 1 species